AUGAACGCUGGCGGCGCGCCUAACACAUGCAAGUCGAACGAUUAAAGCACCUUCGGGUGUGUAUAAAGUGGCGAACGGCUGAGUAACACGUGGGCAAACUGCCCCUUUCAUUGGGAUAGCCACGGGAAACCGUGGAUAAUACCGAAUACUUCGAGACUUCCGCAUGGAAGACUCGAGAAAGCUCCGGCGGAGAGGGAUGGGCCCGCGGCCUGUUAGCUUGUUGGUGGGGUAACGGCCUACCAAGGCAAUGAUGGGUAGCUGGGUUGAGAGACCGACCAGCCAGAUUGGGACUGAGACACGGCCCAGACUCCUACGGGAGGCAGCAGUGGGGAAUCUUGCACAAUGGGCGAAAGCCUGAUGCAGCGACGCCGCGUGCGGGAUGAAGGCCUUCGGGUUGUAAACCGCUUUCAGCAGGGACGAGGCGAAAGUGACGGUACCUGCAGAAGAAGCCCCGGCUAACUACGUG
rnacentral:rRNA from 1 species